rnacentral:rRNA from 1 species
GCCCUACGGGGCGCAGCAGUGGGGAAUAUUGCGCAAUGGGGGGAACCCUGACGCAGCAACGCCGCGUGCAGGAAGGAGGUCUUCGGAUUGUGAACUGUUGUCGCAGGGGAAGAAGACAGUGACGGUACCCUGUGAGAAAGUCACGGCUAACUACGUGCCAGCAGCCGCGGUAAUACGUAGGGAGCAAGCGUUAUCCGGAUUUACUGGGUGUAAAGGGCGUGUAGGCGGGCAUGCAAGCCAGAAGUGAAAUCUGGGGGCUUAACCCCCAAACUGCUUUUGGAACUGCGUGUCUUGAGUGUUGGAUG